UACCUACGGGAGGCAGCAGUGGGGAAUAUUGCACAAUGGGGGGAACCCUGAUGCAGCGACGCCGCGUGAGUGGAGAAGUAUUUCGGUAUGUAAAGCUCUGUCAGCAGGGAAGAAAGAAAUGACGGUACCUGACCAAGAAGCCCCGGCUAACUACGUGCCAGCAGCCGCGGUAAUACGUAGGGGGCAAGCGUUAUCCGGAAUUACUGGGUGUAAGGGGAGCGUAGACGGUUAAGUAAGACUGGAGUGAAGGGCCGGGGCCCAACCCCGCG
rnacentral:rRNA from 1 species